rnacentral:rRNA from 1 species
CCCCUAGAUGUUCUGGGCCGCACGCGCGCUACACUGAACAGUUCAACAAGUCUUAACCUUGGCCGAUAGGUCUGGGUAAUCUUUGAACGCUGUUCGUGAUUGGGAUAGACCUUUGCAAUUAUGGGUCUUCAACGAGGAAUUCCUAGUAAACGCAAGUCAUCAGCUUGCAUUGAUUACGUCCCUGCUCUUUGUACACACCGCCCGUCGCACCUACCGAUUGAAUGGUCCGGUGAAAUCUCGGGACGGCGGCUUGGUCGCUUGCGUCCGACUGCUGAAACUUGAUUAAACCAUAUCAUUUAGAGGAAGGUGAAGUCGUAACA